rnacentral:piRNA from 1 species
UAGGAUGCAGAAAGAUAUGUCCCGUGC